GAGUUCUGACGGAAAUUCGGGAGGGAUGAGAGCACUGAGAUUGUGUUCAGAUGCCGCAAAGCGCAACUAGUCCCGACGUAAUCUCCCAGAUUCCCAAACGUCAUCAUCUCCUCUCCUUCGCUAGCUUUGAAUCCCUCCCCCCGCCUUUGCGUGUUUCUUCCACUUUCCGCCCUUUUCACCUUUCCACCGGCCGGGGGAAAACUGUAGGGGGGCGUCGAUAUUUCGGUGGAAACGGAGCCGUUGCAACUCCCCAAGUGAAAUCCCGCAACUGAUGAGACGCCACUGAUUAGUGCUUCAUGGCGCGACACCAUCUGCUGAUCCGUACUGGAAGUCCAGGAGCUGCGAAACUGAUCAUUUCUAAACCCCGAGAGCGCCGGUCUGUGAAAGGACUGUUAAAGAGUUACACAGGAAGUCUUCUUUGGAAACAUACGUACGAGGACAAACGACACGCACGGCAGGCUGAGCUCUACGGCCCAGCUGCCACUGGUUCGAGGCUGAGCCUUGUCUCCAACGCUCCCCCGUGGGGUGGGAUCUGCUCUUCCUGGAACAGAGACUCCCGGGACCAGCAGCUGUUUGCAGGCUUGCGGUGACAUCAGCGAGAGAUGGGACACUCCUCCAAUCAGGGCUCACUCCCCUGUCAGGCACUGUGGAGCUGGAACUGGGUCAAAAAGAUGGAGGCUGUACGGAUGGUCGGACCUAUACGAAGACUCCAGAUUGAGAGGGUAGAAGCCCAAUAUCAUUCAGGCCUCCCUUAAAUCUGUUGCUCUUCACCUCUGAAGGCAGGAGACCAGGACGAGCGAGCAUCAGACAUCACCGCCUCUUCCAGCAGCAGGCGGGGGAGAGAGCCGAGAGGAAAUUGAAGCCUCAGCAGAAAGCUGCCUUGGGCAGGAACUGUAGGGGAAUCACUCACCAGGCCACGUGAGAGGCAGACAGAGGGUGGAACAGCAGAACGGAGCUCUAAAUCUCUUCUCUUGUGCCGUUGCUGUCUGAAUUACCUGUACUUUCAAAGAAACAAUACGUUAACCCUAGAGUGGGAGUUUUAAAUGGGGGGGGGGGUUGGUUUGUGUUUAAUGUGUUUCUGUUUUGUGAUGGUCUGUGUUCCGUAUGUUGAGCGAUUAAUUUAUGACGAUAAGAGCCAACGAAAAAACAACAUCCUGAAAACAAUGGUACUCUAUCUGUCAGAGUGGCUGAGCAAAUGUUUUUGUUUUGUUUUGUUUUCGGAAAGCACCAAUAUUUUUCGCAGCUCCGUGCUGUUUUUUUGCCUUCUGUUAUUCUCUCUCAAACCCACAAAGAGAACUGAUUCCAUCAGCACAGCGAUUUUCACCAGAUUGAAGGAUGUCGGGCAACCGAUAGUGACGCGAUAAGACCUUCCUUUGAAAGCCACAGAAAGCGUCUCUGUGCAGUCUGUCUUAGCACCAUUUUCUCGGCCAUAAUCAAUUAAAAUCAGCAAGAUGCAUGUUAGCGCCACUUUGACUUCAUUGGGCAUUUGUUCCUUUUUUACCACUUCUGUUUAUUUUGUGAAUAAAAUACAAUAAAGAAAAGAGCGAACGACAUUUAGGGAUAGGCAGGUAUAAGUGUUAAUUUUAAAUGAAGGGAAUUCAAUAUCAUAUAGUGCACUUAUCUUAGUCUGGAAUAUUGUGAGACUGUGUUAGAAAAGUAUCGCUUCUCUGGAAGAGCAGCCACAAAGAUACACUUCUGCUUUCAGAAGCGUACUGCACCAACAGGCUGAAGGAACUGAACCUUCUUCGGCUCACUGAGCUUUCCUUCGUGUACAGUGCACAGCGGUGAAUUGUAGAAAAUUUGCACAAAAGCAGAGCAGUGCAAUUAAAAUACAUCCUGCAAAUCCCAACAAAACCAAUUCUACAUUUAAUUUGUUAUAGCAGUCGCUUUUAAUUUGUGUAUUGGAUAUAAUAAAAUAUUUAAUUG